ACACAUGCAAGUCGAACGGCAACGAGGAGAAGCUUGCUUCUCUGUCGGCGAGUGGCGAACGGGUGAGUAUAGCAUCGGAACGUGCCAAGUAGUGGGGGAUAACCAAACGAAAGUUUGGCUAAUACCGCGUAAGCUCCAAGGAGGAAAGUAGGGGACCUGAUAAGGCCUUACGCUAUUUGAUCGGCCGAUGUCGGAUUAGCUAGUUGGUGGGGUAAUGGCUCACCAAGGCAAUGAUCCGUAGCGGGUCUGAGAGGACGAUCCGCCACACUGGGACUGAGACACGGCCCAGACUCCUACGGGAGGCAGCAGUGGGGAAUUUUGGACAACGGGGGAAACCCUGAUCCAGCCAUGCCGCGUGUAUGAAGAAGGCCUUAGGGUUGUAAAGUACUUUUGUUAGGGAAGAAAAGCUAGUUUUUAAUAAAAAUUAGUGAUGACGGUACCUAAAGAAUAAGCACCGGCUAACUACGUGCCAGCAGCCGCGGUAAUACGUAGGGUGCAAGCGUUAAUCGGAAUUAUUGGGCGUAAAGCGAGUGCAGACGGUUACUUAAGCCAGAUGUGAAAUCCCCAAGCUUAACUUGGGACGUGCAUUUGGAACUGGGUGACUAGAGUGUGUCAGAGGGAGGUAGAAUUCCACAUGUAGCGGUGGAAUGCGUAGAGAUGUGGAGGAAUACCGAUGGCGAAGGCAGCUUCCUGGGAUAACACUGACGUGAGGCUCGAAA
rnacentral:rRNA from 1 species